CCCACUGCGGCGUUCCUUCCCACUCUCAUGUCGGCUGGAAUCUCUACACUUCGUACACAUUUGUACAAAGCCUCGGAGUUCCUAAAGCUGUGAGGGGAAUGGAGGAUACCACUCCUCUCCGGCAAGGUAUUGCUUGAAAGAUAAAUUGGGAAGAUGAGUGCCUAGAAACGGGCAGCAGAGAAAAAAAACCUACCAACAGCUUGUCCCAGAGCCGCCAGGCACAGCAAGUGCAGCAGUUGGGAUACAGGCUCUAAUUAAUGCGCUAGGAGCUGCUCGACCCUGAGCAGCCCCUUCCUCUCCCAGAAGACAGCUGCGGUCUCCUCGAAGCCCCGGUUUGGAGGGUUGUGUGCACAUCUGAGACCUGCUGACCCUGACAACAGGCAACAGAUUGCAGCACCAAGGCAGAACUCCAUGGGACAGAAAGACAGAAGACACCGGGGCUCUUUCGUUCAGUGACGGCGUGAAGAGGACUGUCACAGUCAACAUGGCACCUUCAUUCUUCUAUUGGGCUUUUUUUUUUUUUUGGCGGGGUCGGGGAGGCAGUUCUCUGUUCCCGGCACACAGAGAACUGUUGUAUCUUUCUCAUUGCAGGCACAGCUCCAGAAUAUUCCAGCCCCUUCUCUAAAUAGAUUCUUGAUCAAAUGAAACAUCCUGGGCUGAACUGAGGGCAGUGCCAUUUUUGCCCAGUGGGUAUUUGGUAAAUGUUCAUGGAAGCAAGUCAAACUGAAGUUCAAAAAGUACAUGAUUUGCAUUCGUUGAAGUACAAAAAAAGGUACAUAACAAUAGAGAUGGACUGCAAACUCAUCCACUGACUCAACACCUUCCAUUAUCUAUUCAUGUUAUCCCAUUGCUUCUCAUUGUGAAAAGCCCCCGGGAGAUAGUUUGGGGGUGACGGGUCAUUGGCUGUCCCUUAAAUCCCAUCAUGUUGGCAAUCCCCUUCCCCAGUAACGUAUGAGGUUCACAUGAUCUCAGAGCUGCACGUAUGGCUCUACAGUAAUCCCCAUAGCAGCACAUUCCACUUGGAAAAGUUGCUUUCAAAGUGUACUUAUAAUUGCUAAUCAUCACUGUAGUCUGGCAGCUUCCAUGGAAGCGUGACUGGCAUGUUCUGGGGCUGGCCCCUUGCCCUCUGAUUCACAGGACACCUGUCUCAGUCCUCCCCAAACCCCAUCCUGCUUCCUCUGCUCUCCACCUCAUUCCCACCUCUGCACAAGCCUGGAUCCUGU
rnacentral:lncRNA from 1 species